CAGCUGCAGGGAACUUGCUUCUCCUACACUGCCAGAAAUUCACACACCCCAAGCUAUUCUUGGUCCUUUGGCUUACGGGUAGAGUCAGAACACCUUUCGUGACACACUGUUAUUUCUGGCAUGGAGGUGGGGGCACAGAAUCAAGCUUCUUCUCUGGACAGCAGAUGGAGCCAGGCCAUGAGUUUUCUCUUGCCAUAAGUUUCUUCCUGGGAGGAAGAGGGUUCAGCUUCCCAGGGAUCCUUAGUCUUUUGGCCAAUAGAUGAGGCCAGAGUGAGCUUCCCUUCCGAGGACGAAACCAUGGAUCACAGUCCAAGUUUGAGAAAGGCAAAUGUUAGUUUUGUGGUGUAGAUGUUUGAUGUCGUCUGCCAUGAAAGUUGCUAAAGUUAUCAGAGUCACAUAACUGAGAUGAAUACAGUGUCUGGGAGUGAGAGUAGCUCAGUAGAGCUUGCUGUUGUUUAGUCGAUUAGUCGUGUCCGACUCUUCAUGACCCCAUGGACCAAAGCACACCAGGCACUUCUGUCUUCCACUGCCUCCCGCAGUUUGGUCAGACGCAUGUUGGUAGCUUCAAGAACACUGUCCAACCAUCUCGUCCUCUGUCGUCCCCUUCUCCUUGUGCCCUCAAUCUUUCCCAACAUCAGGGUCUUUUCCAUGGAGUCUUCUCUGCUCAUGAGGUGGCCAAAGUAUUGGAGCCUCAGCUUCACGAUCUGUCCUUCCAGUGAGCACUCAGGGCUGAUUUCCUUCAGAAUGGAUAGGUUUGAUCUUCUUGCAGUCCAUGGGACUCUCCAGAGUCUCCUCCAGCACCAUAAUUCAAAAGCAUCAAUUCUUCAGCGAUCAGCCUUCUUUAUGGUCCAGCUCUCACUUCCAUAGAGCAUGAGACACUUAAUCUCAGGGCUGUGGGUUCAAGCCCCACAUAGGGCAGAAUAUUCCUACAUUUGCAGGUAGUUGGGACUAGAUGACCCUUACGGUCAACUCUACAAUUCUAUGAUUCUAUGUUUAAAGGCACUGGAAUAUCUUUUUUAAAAAACCCAAUAAUAAACAGUAGAAAGUAACUUAAGUAAAUUCAUAACAUCAUUUCUUUCCUUUAGAACUACAAAGGAAGCUAAUUUAUACAACACUAAUUCAAACCAUAUUAUCAUCUUAGCAAAGAUUAUGCAAUCCUUUGUGGGCUUUACAAGCCUAACUGCAGCAUCUUAAGCAGCAUAUAAACCUCACUGAUUCAAAAAUAGAUUUAAAUAACUGGAAAUAAAAGAAAACAGCUAGGUUAAAAUCAUACUAAAUGCAGUGGCUUUGAAAGAAAAAGUGAUGUAUCACCUAAGGUUAAACUUUUAAAAUCUAAAGUGUUAUAAAAUAAUCAGACAACUACAGUUUUCUGUAGUUAAAACUUUUUUUAUUUUAAUGCAACUUGAGUGUUGAUGGAAUUUCUGGCAGGUCGAACCAAAAAUAAACUAGAAUGGCCACAAAAAUGCGAAGUGAAGUCAUGGAUUGAUUUUACUGGUUAUCCAAUAAAAAUCUUCCCUUUUCAGUAUUAAAGUGUCACUAGCAACAUGUGAGCAAGCAGUACUAGGGUUCAGUUUUAAAUUUUUACCUUGCACUUCAGGUCACAGAGCAAUUUGUAGGGCUGUUAUGUAUUACAAGAAUAAGCAGGCACAUGACCCCUCGCAAUGACCUGGACCUUUCUGAACUAACAAAGCGCUUUCUAGCUGAACGACUAGGUAAAAAAAAGUCUUCACGCUUAUAGUGGAGAGGAUGUCAAAAUGUCUCAGCAUGGAGCCAAAGCUUGGCCUGCAGGGCAGCAACCAAAUUUACACCAAAACGGUUGUUAAAUGAAAAAGCAGCCCUUUAAAAUAAAUAAAUAAAUAAAGGGUACUGCAUUGUACAUGCUCAGAGACUUCUGGGGGGAAAACCCACUCACAAGCAGUGUAAUGCUUUGAGAACUCAAAACCAAAAAGUAUUGACAAUUUAUCAAUUCGGGAAGGGCCAUAAGCUCAGUGGCAGAGCAGCUGCUUUGCAUGUAAAUGGACCCAGAUUUAAUCCCCAGCAUAGCUGCCAAGUUUUCCCUUUUCUCGCGAGGAAGCCUAUUCAGCAUAAGGGAAUUUCCCUUAAAAAAAGGGAGAACUUGGCAGCUAUGAUCCCCAGUAGCACCAAUCAGAGGGAUGCGGGUGGCACUGUGGGUUAAAGGUUGGUGGUUCGAAUUCCCGCGAUGGGGUGAGCUCCCGUUGCUUGGUCUCUGCUCCUGCCAACCUAGGAGUUCGAAAGCACGUCAAAGUGCAAGUACAGUAGAUAAAUAGGUACCACUCCAGUGGGAAGGUAAACGGCGUUUCCGUGUGUUGCUCUGGUUCACCGGAAGUGGCUUUGUCAUGCUGGCCACAUGACCUGGAAGCUGUACACUGGAUCCCUUGACCAGUAAAGCGAGAUGAGCACUGCAACCCCAGGGUCGGUCACAACUGAACCUAACGGUCAGGGGUCCCUUUACCUUUUUUAGCACCAAUCAGAAACCUGUUGCUGGUGGGGGGGUUCUGUUUGAGAUCCUGGAGGGCUGCUGCCUGUCAAGUGUAUGCCUGGUUGUGAGGAACUUCGGGCCCAUGCCUCUCUAACCACCCCCUCAGUACUCUUCCUAGGCCACACCCGUCUCCAUAGGCCACGCCCCUCACUGAACCUGCGCGGUUCCCUCCUGGGCUCUUUCGCCUGACUGGGACGUGCACUUGAAGCAUUGCCUUCAUAGGCAGGAUAGGUGAACCUGUAGCUUCUACGUGGCUCGAAUGUAGCCUACUGUACAAAGGUAGGUGCUGCAUCUUGCUCUGCCCACUUUGGCCUCAACCACCUCCGGCAGGUGACCCCGGAAGGUGCCUUACAGGGAAAAGCAGCUCUCAGGGUGAAAAAGGUUCAUUGGCCCUUGGUGCACACAAUACUAAGCAACAUUAAUUUGUGGUCUGGCUCUAUAUAAGAAGGGGGCUUCCUCUGGUUUCACCCACCACAAGCCCAAUUGCCUGACAUUUUACUGUCAUUAGCAGUGUUUCUUUUCUGCAGAGACGCAUACCCCUAAACAUUUUGUGAAUCUAUGUUUGGCCCCAUUGAGGGGUAUUAUUUCAAUAUGAAUAGAAAAACGAGAGUACCUCUAAACGUGUUUUUUAGGGGGGGGGAUGCACUGGCCAUUAAUAAACAUCAUAUGUGACCACAACAGAACAGCAUGAAGUGUUGGUUUCUGUCAAAACUACAGAAAGCCAGGUGUUGGGGGAAAGAAUAUUAGUCUUCCCCAACCUGGUGCACUCCAGAAACAAGGACUUCAGCUCCUAUCAACUCCAUGCUGGCUGGCGAUGAUGUAAACCAGAGAUUUCCAAACUGUGUGUUGCGACACGUUGGUGUUGGGUACAGUGUGUAGCUGUGCCGUGCAAACGCUCCACGCACAGCUCCUGGGGCUAGAAAUGGGGUUAGUUUAACCUCUGGUUUGCUAGUAAAAACAGGUUGGGAAAGUCUGAAGUAAAUGGUAGCCAAUGUUAUAUAUUUCUGACUCCAGCACAUGCUUCAGCAAAGAGUUUUAACACUUUUUAAAUUAAUGGGGCUUUAAAAAUCUGCUUGAUCAUGGUUAAAUCGUGCUGCGGUUUUGAUUUGCUUCUUUUAAAUAAACAAAAAAUAAUUCCAAGCUCCAAGACAAGAAAAGCAACAUGGUUAAAACAGCCUUGGACAAACAAUGAGCAUAUUAUUGAACUGACAGGUAUACUUUACAGGUAAAGCAAGGUGGCAAAGUCCUCUGCAACAAAGGACUUGGAUAAAGUUCCCCAAACAUAUAAUAGUCUUUUGAUUUUCAUUUUUUGGUCAGGCGCAAGUUGUGGCAAGUGUUUCCCAACAGGGUCAACACAGAAUCUCUCCAAUGGAAAUGAGGCAGGCAUCAUGAAUAUUCCAGAUGGCACAAAUGAGCAACACAAGAGUUUUGUAUUCCAUUAUUGCAGCCUGGCAGUCAGCCACAUGUCUGGAGCAAACAACAAUUACUUCUGGAUAAGUAGCUGUCCAGUCCUGCUGCUGAAGUUGUCCUAUAAACACAUGAGUGGGCAGGCUGGGGGGAAAUGGUCUGCAAAUUUAUAUGUAAGACUUGAGUUAUGGCAUAAAGUUCUUCCCAGCCAUCCUCUACACAAUCAAAAUUGAUCGCUAAAGCUGUACUAUGCAGGAGCCAGUAAAAAAGUACAUAAGGUGAUAUUGGGUGCAAAAAAGUUUAGCUAGCAAGUUCAGCUUUUGCUUUAAUGGGUGGGGAGGAUUUAGCCCUUAUAAUUUUGAAGUUAUGUUUGACAGUGUGUGGGCAAUGCCUGCUGACAUCUCAGAAGACAGAGCAUGUGCUAGCAAAUUUCUCUUUUCUUAGCACAGAAUCUGAACUGUCUGGGUACAGAUUUUUAUCUUACUCACGGCAUAGCACACCAUCCUGCAAAGAUUAACUUUCCUCACAUAAAUUAAAACUGAAGGUACCUGAGGAUCUAUAAAGUCAUGCCUUUCUACAACAAACCUUUUGCCGCCAGAAAUAACAAAAGCGAGUGGCUGAGACCACCUGCCACAUCUUUCCACGUCUGCAAAGUUAUGCACUAGAGCAGAGCUUUCCAAGCCGUGGGUCAUGUGACACGUUAGUGUGUCGGCUGCAGGGUGUAGGUGUGUCACGCGAACGCUCCCUUGUGGUCCUCCCGGGGCUGGAAGGGGGUUAGUUUAACCUCCGGUUUUCUAGGAAAACUGAAUUACUGUCGCGAAAUGAUGCAUGUCUAAAAAGUGUGCCACCAACAUGAAAAGUUGGGAAAGCUCUGCACUAGAGCAACGGGUGGGGAACCUCGGGUUGGGUGCUGGGACAGACCAAAUGCACCCCCCCACCCCAGCUCUCUCAAUCUGGCCCUUGUAUUUCUCAUUGGAAACACAAUGCAGGAUAAGAAAAAUGCUGAAUCAGAAAAUUCAUUCACAAUGCUGAAUCAGAAAAAUUAACCAAGAGAUUACAUACAUUGAAUAAUACACAUCAUGUAGAUGAUUUCGUUGAAAUAUGGCAUCCUUUUAUAAAAAGAAUUUACUGAUAACCCUGAAGAACAGCAACCACAGAAAUCACAGAUUGGACUUGGGCAAAUUUAACUGGAGUGGGGAGGGGAUUUUGUUUUGGUAUCUUUUCCCUUUGUUGCAAUUGUUGUCAUACAAUAAAACUAUAUAUUUUUAAAAAUCUGGCCCUUAGAAGUAUCCCUAGAGUCCACAUCCUUUACAGACCCUGCUUUGAUCCUAACUCAAUUGCUUUUGUUUGGCUGGAAUGUGUCCUUGGGCAGAGAUGACUCAUCUCACUUAUCUGUAUGGCAGAUGGACUAAUGUCUGUGCAUGCAGAAACCUCUGCGUGGAACCUGCGUGGAGCCAGAGCCUUUGUCUUCUGGCCCCCAGAUGUUUGCCCAUGAAGGAAUGUGGCCCUUAGGCUGAAAAAAGAGAAAGCAGAAAUGUAGGAGAGGCGGCUGACCUAAACUGCUGUCUGAGGCAACAGACUGGCUGGAAACUGUGGAUGCAGAUGCAUUUUGAGGCACAAAGGUGAGAAGCACCAGAUUGGUUUCCUGAUUUUAUGGGGAAAUAUUCAACCUUUGCACACGCAUGCAAAUGGCGUUUGCCAUAUUCCAUCUUCAUGCAUACAUACAGGAAUGCUGCAUGUGUGAAUGAGUGAGGAGGGGCUACAUGUACUUGCACUCCUCCAAACACAGGGCCAGAUCUGGGGAACAGGACAUGGAGCUUGGUUUCUCUACGCACAUGCAGUCAUCCAAAAAGAUGUUGGCCAAACCUAGCAGCCAGAGAGAUUUACUAAGCUCCGCUUGGAAGGGAGGAGACAUGGAGACCUGAGUCUGCCAAGGAGAAGUCAGUUCCUGUUCUCUUCUCUCUCUUUUUUAUCACCUUCCAGGCAGUGCUCAAGUCUACAUGGAGCCAUCACCUUAGAGUUCUGAGUAAUGCCUCUUGCAAAAGACUAUUGGGCUGAGGAAGUAGGAGUCGAAGGAGAAAUACCCAAGUCCAUAGCAGCCCACAACUUGCUCUGUGUUAUCGACCUGCAUGCAACAUGAACCACCACAAUUUGAAAACCCAGGCUAAAAUAUAAACCUCUCAUGAGCCGCCUUAUCAGCAAACAGCCAACUGUCACUUAUAAAUCUUGUUUUGUAGGCUGGGGCAGCAAUGCUUUUUGUGUUCAUGUGCGUCAAGAGAAAAAUUAUGGAUGUUCUGUUUUAGGCUCUGUGGAGAAUGCAAGACAAUGCCGGGGGUGAUGGGGAAGGAUCGCUGAUGUUGUUGAUCAGCCCUCUAUUUCUUUCCACUAAUGAAAGUGGCCCAUAAAUAUAAUGUCUUGUUGAGGUCAGCAACUCCAGACACUCUUGAAAAGCCAAGUAAAGCCUAGCAACAACCUAAAAGGUGCAGGUAGGAUGAAACACACAGAGGGCCUGGUCAUCCUUUAAGGUGACAAACAAAAUUCUGUAAUUUUGCCCUGACAUCUUGUGUCGAACGGUCCUGUCUACUGCUCAGCCAUACUAUGGGGUUUCCCCCCCUUUCCUUGAGUACUGUAAGUAAAAUUAUUAAAAACAGCACUAAAAAACUAUUAAAACUAUUUUAAAGUACCAGGGGGGUAGCGGACCAGAAGAAGAAUGUCCACCUUUAGAAGUCGCUACCACAAUAGCCAAUCAGUGGCCAAAGGCCUGUUGGAAUAAUAAAAAAAAAGCUUUUGCCUGCCUGCAAAAGGAAAGCUGAGAGGUAGCUAACCUAGCUUCCCAUGGAAGAGAAUUACACAGCCUGGGAGCAGCCACUGGGAAGGCUACUAUAAGAAUUUAGUCUCUCCUCAGGCAAAAAUUACAAAUACUAUACAAUAGUUUGUAGAGAGCACUGCUAUUUUUUACUUAGUAAAGUAUUUUCAAAGCACUGUUUGAAAGGAGCAUUUCAGCCAUUCCGCCAUUCACAACCCCGUGAGAGGCAAAGCAACUUCAGGCUUAAACACGCGGCGGGUGGGAGGGAGAUUCAAAAACGCCAGCCAGAGUGGCCAAAAACGAAAGGGACUGAGAAUAUAUAGGGGCCCUCCUGUCAAUCAACUGGACAUUAGUUAUUGUCACGCCCACCAGGCUAUUCAGCCUGCCUCAGCCAGCCCUCCCCCAAACCAAGAGGACUUCUCCCAGCCCUUCCGCAACCCUACUAGGUAUACUUUCAUUCUAGUAGCAAUCAAUUAGUUUACAUGCCUAUUCAGAAAAAAAAAGUUUUACAAAUCUGGAAACUUUAUCAGGACAGUAACUGGUAUAAGCUGACAAUUUUAUACUACACAACACAAUAAUUAUUCUAGAAUCGGUAGAUAUGAGGUAACUCUUGCGAUAGCUGAAAGGACGAUUCAAUCUAAUAUAAAAGCCAUUAGUUUUGCUAAUCAUAACGCAGUACAACAUUUUAAAGUACAACUUUGUUACUGGUUAAAUGAGGCAAUGAAAUAAGCAAGUAGCUUAUAUAGAAAUUGCCAGUUUCAUCACUGUGCUAAGCAAUGAAGCAGCUCAGGCAAAAUACCUUAAACAUGUUUUGGAAACAAGGCAUGAAAUAUAACAAUGUCAUAACAGGAAUGAAUACAAGAGAAGACAGCUCUUUAAAUGGCAUCAUGCUGAACAGGAGAUGAGCUUUUCCUCACUGCCACAACAGAAGAAACAAAUCUCACCAGCAUGUUAAAAUAAAAUAAAAAAGACCCAGCAAAAGCAGAAAAGACAUGAAAGUCAAGAAUCGCCCUCAGUGGACAACAACAACAACAACAACAACAACAACAACAACAACAACAACAACAACACAGCCACUGCUAAUGUACUAAAAAUACUUAUUUCUGUGAACUGGUGUUUUUUUCUCCUGAACAACCUUGUGAACAUCCCAAAUACUGUAUACAGAUAAAUCACAAGCCUGGAUAAACAGGAGUCUGUUUGCAAUGUGGAAAUAGUAGAGUACCACAAAGAAGACAGUAUAUGCUUGACUUCAAGAUUUCAAUCUUAACUGGGAAGAGCAAGCAAGCCAGAAAAAAGUUACCAGAGUGGACUAUAAGGAGGCAGGGCCUAGGCAGAGAUGACCUAUCUAGUUAUUUUUAAUUGUGAAACAAACCUAAUAAGUAAUUAUUUGGGGUCCCAAUAUUUAAUCUUUGCUUUGCUUUUAGGUUAACAGAAAAUAAAAAUACCAUAUAUACUCGAGUAUAAGCCUACUUUUUCAGCACCAAAAAUGUGCUGAAAAGGCCGCCCUCGGCUUAUAUUCGAGUGAGGCGGGCGG